rnacentral:rRNA from 1 species
AACGCGAAGAACCUUACCAACUCUUGACAUCCCAUUGACCGCUUGAGAGAUCAAGUUUUCCCUUCGGGGACAAUGGUGACAGGUGGUGCAUGGUUGUCGUCAGCUCGUGUCGUGAGAUGUUGGGUUAAGUCCCGCAACGAGCGCAACCCCUAUCCUUAGUUGCCAGCAUUCAGUUGGGCACUCUAGGGAGACUGCCGGUGACAAACCGGAGGAAGGUGGGGAUGACGUCAAAUCACCAUGCCCCUUAUGAGUUGGGCUACACACGUGCUGCAAUGGACGGUACAAAGGGCAGCGAGACCGCGAGGUGGAGCCAAUCCCAUAAAGCCGUUCCCAGUUCGGAUUGCAGGCUGCAACUCGCCUGCAUGAAGUCGGAAUCGCUAGUAAUCGCAGGUCAGCAUACUGCGGUGAAUACGUUCCCGGGUCUUGUACACACCGCCCGUCACACCACGAGAGUUUGCAACACCCGAAGCCGGUGGGUAACCNUAAGGAGCCAGCCGUCGAAGU